CUAGGUCUCAACAUCUCUUUAAACACUGAGACUCUUCUUCUUCUUCUUUCACUCUCUUCACCGAACCAAAAAAAAAAAAAUUAGGAGAGAUACCUUUUCGCUCUCUUUCUAAUGGCGUAAGAUUGUUUUUUUUGAUUCCUCCUUUCUCUAUUUUUUGAAGAACGAAGAAGAUUCAAAGCAGAGCAGAGCAGAGCUAGGGUUUAUGAUUGAAGACCCAGAAUUAGGGUUCUCUUUGUCUUCUAAUUGAUGAAUGAAUUAGCAAGCAGGAUAUGGUUUCCAUGGCGUUUCUUCUUCUUCUUCUUCUUCUUCUUCUCCAGCUUUCUCUCAUCUGAUUUGAUCGACCAACUAAAGUCUAAAGGAAGAUAUUGGUGGCAAGUGAUGAUCGGAGGAGCCGGAUGAUGGCGUUUCUUCUUCUGAUUUGACCGACCGCCAAGUACAGGUUUCAUAAAUCCUAGGGUUUUUUGGUUUUAAUCUAAUUCUGGUAUAUGUUGUGCAGGUCAGAGAGAUGGAUUGAAGAAUGACGAAGAAGAAUACUCAAGUCUGCUUUAUCUCAAAGAGAUGGAUUGGAGAGUGAAGAAGAAGAAGAAGACUGCUUAAGUGAUCCCAAUGGAUGUUAUAAGAAGACACUCUGAAUUUUUAGGCAAUUCGUUCCAUUGCUCACAGUUACUCAAUACUUCCCAUCCAUAAGUGAAACUGAGACUUUUUGGUUUUGUUGUUGCUGCUUCUAUACAUGAUGAAGAUAUAUAUGGUGCACUUCCUUCCCAUUGAUGUUAAGGAUGAUGCUGAAUUAUGGACCCUAAGGAUGGCAACAAAAUCCUCUUCUUCUUUAUUGGUCUGUGCUACUCAAGUGUGUGUGAGUGAUUAUGACCUUAACCAUGGAAUACUCCUCUUCUUGCUUUGUGCUACUGAAGUUGGAACUCGACAAGGCACUAGAAUUCAGCGCACCACCCUUUGAACUAAAAGGUACUUGUCAUUGCCUCAUGCCAACAAUUCUCAUCCACAGAUGUGUGCUCGAGUGUUCCUACCAGAUUUUUGGAGGAUGAAGUAGAUUCAGAACAAAAACGGUUGAUGGAGAGGGUUUUUAAGGUAACAACAUCAAACUAAAUUUUGAAGGCAAGUGGUUCCAUGGCGUUUCUUCUUCUUCAACUUUCUCUCAUCUGGUUUGAUCGACCAACUAAAGGAAGAUAUUGGUGCCAAACGAUGAUCGGAGGAGCCGGAUGAUGGCGUUUCUUCUUCUGAUUUGACCGACCGCCAAGUACAGGUCAGAGAGAUGGAUUGAAGAAUGAAGAAGAAGAAUACUCAAGUCUGCUUUAUCUCAGAGAGAUGGACUGAACAGUGAAGAAGAAGAAGACUUAAGCAGACUGCUUAAG